GACGAACGCUGGCGGCGUGCUUAACACAUGCAAGUCGAACGGAAAGGCCCUGCUUUUGUGGGGUGCUCGAGUGGCGAACGGGUGAGUAACACGUGAGUAACCUGCCCUUGACUUUGGGAUAACUUCAGGAAACUGGGGCUAAUACCGCAUAGGAUCUCCUGCUGCAUGGUGGGGGUUGGAAAGUUUCGGCGGUUGGGGAUGGACUCGCGGCUUAUCAGCUUGUUGGUGGGGUAGUGACUUACCAAGGCUUUGACGGGUAGCCGGCCUGAGAGGGUGACCGGCGACAUGGGGACUGAGAUACGGCGCAGACUCGUACGGGAGGCAGUAGUCGAGAAUAUUGCACAAUGGGCGGAAGUGUGAUGCAGCAACGCCGCGUGCGGGAUGAUGGCUUUCGAGUUGUAAACCGAUUUCGCCGUUGACGAGGCGUGAGUGACGGUACUGGGUAAGGAAGCAACGGCUAACUACGUG
rnacentral:rRNA from 1 species